AAACCAGCACCUCAAGUGGUCAGGAUGAUUAUUGGGCCUAAAGCAUCCGUAGCCUGCUUUGUCAGUUUUCGGUGCAAUCCAUACGCUCAACGUAUGGGCUGCCGGAAAUACUGCAAAGCUAGGGAGUGGGAGAGGUAGACGGUACUCGGGAGGAAGGGGUAAAAUCCUUUGAUCUCUCGAUGACCACCUGUGGCGAAGGCGGUCUACCAGAACACGUCCGACGGUGAGGGAUGAAAGCUGGGGGAGCAAACCGGAUUAGAAAUCCGAGUAGUCC
rnacentral:rRNA from 1 species